rnacentral:rRNA from 1 species
AUUGAACGCUGGCGGCAUGCUUUACACAUGCAAGUCGAACGGCAGCGCGGGCUUCGGCCUGGCGGCUAGUGGCGCACGGGUGAGUAAUGCAUCUGAACGUGCCCCGUAUUGGGGGAUAGUCCGUCGAAAGCCGGAUUACUACCGCCUACUACCUGCGGGUGCAAGCGGGGGACCGAAAGGCCUUGCGCUCUUUGGGCGACCGAGGCGGGAUUUGCUAGCUUGUGGGGUAAAGGCUUACCAAGGCGACGAUCCGUAGCUGGACUGAGAGGACGACCGGCCACACUAGGGCGGGGACACGGCCCAGACUCCUACGGGAGGCAGCAGUGGGGAAUGUUGGACAAUGGGGGCAACCAUGAUCCAGCCAGGCCGCGUGCGAGAAGAAGGCCUUCGGGUUGGAAAGCGGGUUUGUGCGGGAAGAAAUGCUCUGGGCUAAUACCACGGGGGGAUGACGGUACCGGAAGAAUAAGCACCGGCUAACUACGUG